rnacentral:tRNA from 3 species
GUACCCAUAGCUCAAUUGGAUAGAGUGUCUGGCUACGGACCAGAAGGUUAGGGGUUCGACUCCUCUUGGGUACGCCA